AUCUUGCUGAUGAGUGCCAAAUAGCACGAAACUUAAAUCCAGGGU
rnacentral:hammerhead_ribozyme from 1 species